AACCUGAAUCAUCCCAGGAUGAUCCCUGGUGUUAUUUCCAGGCCAUGGUGUGCCAUCUUGCAUAAUCCAUCCUUCUUCAGGGACCUUUUGAGCUUUUGCAACGAGGGAAUUGAUACGAAUUUUAAACUCUUCAUACUCCCUCUUCAUUGCCCUGCGUUCUUUUACAAAUGAUGUUUGAACUUUAUCCUUCAAGUAGUCAACCUUCUGAGAAAAAUACCACUCUGGAGCUCGUGGCUCUAUGCUGUACUUCUUCGAGAAAGGAACCCAUUUCCUUGCAA
rnacentral:misc_RNA from 1 species